ACUCCUCCCGCGGCUCCGCCGGGCGCCCGAGCCGGGCAGAUGCGCCGCCGCGCGCCCCCCGCUCCGGGCCCGCCACCGUGCUCUGCCGCGCGCCGGGGGCUCCUCUCCCGGGCCCCCCUGGGCGCCCUCCGGCUCUGGUUCCCGCCCGCUCCUUGGAAUAACCCCUGAGGCUCCAGCCGUCACCGCAAAGUUUCCCGAGGAGACCCGCCUCCCCGGCCGCUGCGCAGGUGAGGGCGUGUGGCUGAAGCCUGUUCCUGCUUGGGGGUUGGCCACACAGCAUCCCAACUCCAGGUCCAGAGCCGAGCCUGACAGCCCUCCUCCACUGCCUCCUGGAGCUGCCGGAGAGAGGUCCGGGUCCGUUCUCCCCAAUUCACAGACAUGAAGACUGAGGCCGUGGUUCCAGUGGCUGCUCGGUGGUGGGGCUGGAGCUUGGCAGCAUCCUGCAGCCCUCUGGACUCCCGGCUCUCGAGUGCCGCGUUCUACCUGCUGUGUUCUAAAUGGACAUGCCAUCCCCACAGCUGUGUCAAUAAAGCAGCCAUUUACAGAGCGGGCGCCGGAUCCCGUGACAGGUUGAAAAGUGUGUGAGCUGCAGCGUCCUGGGCUGGGGCAGAGGGGCCGUGGCGAGAACAGAUGGGGCUGUGCCCAUCUCCCCAGGCCCUCCUGUGGCUGCGCCUGGAGCCUCCCGGGAGGGAGGCCAGAGCCAGGAGCAGGC
rnacentral:lncRNA from 1 species